UGUUUAGGUUAAUUAUUUACCAAUUUUAUAAUAUAUGUGUUUAACUCUGUUUAUGAGAAAUGCAUGUUUAAUCUUAACUGUUAAUUCUUUUAUAUCAGAUGUCCAAGAUGAACUGCAGAGCACAAGUUCCAUAGACAAACGUUAAAAGCGUGAUGAAGCUUUUAUAAGCCCUAGCACAUCCGUUAUAAUAGAUACAGAACAAAUUGAAACCAAAAACCCAUCAAUUUAUCCAUACCCCAAUACGCAAGUUAUAGAUGCAGAUGACAUUGUGGAAGGAAGUAAUAAUUGGAGUCAUUACUCUCCUGCCCAAUUAAAAAAGGCCAAACAUCCGGCUUUGCAAACCAGAAAAGGAAAAAGACCUAGUAAAAAGAUGAAUCUUGCUGCUGCUGGGCAAAAAUUCAGCCUUGGCUAGACGCUAAAGCUGGUCCAACAAAUUUAAAACUGAAAUUAUUACAAGAAGAAUUCAAUGUCAAGCAACA